UUUUUUUUUCUUUUUUUUUUUUAAAUAAGACUGCACCAUGUGUAACAUCUCUGAGGUCUUCACUAGAGAAGAAAAACACAGAAUCAGAGGGUGGAUUCUAGAAUCGUUUCCUUCCUCUAUUCCCUCCCCCACCCUCCUCCACUGCACGCCCCAGGCCACUCUCUGAAUCCUUAAAGCACACUCUCCCUUCUAAAAACACUGAUAGAGGUUUUUUAAAAAAUCAUAAGGAAUAACCUUUCUCUCGCUCUUGAUCCCUCGAAGAUAAGGAAACUGCCUGUUCCUGAUCCAGUCAUCUCCGCAUCUCCAGGCACAAGAAACAAAGGAAUUGCCAGACUCCUACCACACAGGGGUUUUACACCAUCCAGACUUAGCUGACUCUGAAUAUUCGUAACCUGCUCAUUGAUUACCACGAAAGACGUUUCCAAGUUAAAGUCUGCACAUCUCCAAAGAUGCAUCAAGGCGUUUCUGCUGUGGUUCCAUGGGUUAAACACCUGACAGCAGCAGCUGGGGUCGCAGCUUUGGCUUGAGUUCCACCCCUGGUCUGGGACCUUCCCUACACCACGGGUGUGGCCACUUAAGAAAGGAUGCAUUAAAAACACGGGGACCGUUUUUAACGUGUUCAUCUGCUGAAUAAGUCAAAGUUGACUUUCAGAGACUGAGGACUGAACAAAUUUCAGGCUCUAAUAAAAAUGUACAGGUUUUUCCCAUCUGGUCCUGGGACAGCGGCUGUAAUUUCUUCUCAAGUGUCUGUACUUUCCCGUAUCACCCAUAAUUAUACAAAAGCCUAGGUUUCCAGCAUGAAGUCAUGUGACUCUAAAAAGAACCAGGAAAAAGUCCAUUGAAGCCUAGUUAACUGAGACAACACGCUGUAAAUCAUCAAAAGACAAAUCAGGAAGAAUGGGCCCACAGUCCCUGCUGGGAGACAGAGCCAGCAGGCCCUCAACGGAGCUGAUGGGAGGCGGAGGUCCUCAAACAGGCUCAGUGGACUGUGACCUCAGUGGAGGAAGCGGCCUCAUCACAAGCCAGCCACGUGUUAAAUAUUCUAGAGCCCCAGGAGCUCAGUCAAGGCAUUUAGGCUCCCAACUGCUCCACGAGGCUAUGUCCACGGUACAGAUGAGGCAGGAGACGGAGGCAUGGGGUGGACCUAUGCCCACCCAACCAUCGACUCCGAAGGCUAGCAAGAACAGGCAUCAUCUUCAAACAGACCUUUGUGGGGAAUAAGAGAGGCUCGGGUGGAUAAGACGAAGGGCGGACCCCACACGCGCGCCCUCACCCAGCCCUCCAGGCGCCCGGGCAGCAGCUGACGUCGGGACACCCCUGAGACAGUGAACCCUUAGCGGGCCCCGCGUCCACCCCAACUCGAGCCGGGCUCAGGGUCUCCCAAGGCCCGCGCUAUGGUAACGCAGAAAUCAUUCGGCCUGGCCCACUGCCUGCCUCCACCUUGAUGAGAACAUCGGAGGCAGUGGGCACGCCCUCCGCCCAGCAGGUAUGGCAACGAGGGCCCGCCCAGGAGGAGACACCCGCAAAUACCAGCUCCGUUCUCCCCACAAACCCGGCCCACAGUGGGCCUUCGGGGAGCCACGGAGCUGCCCUGGGGGAGCCAGGGCCCGCUCGCCGCAGGCCUCCCCCUGCGGACUCGUUAUUCUUCCCACAGACCACGCACGAGGGCUCCCAAGGGUCCCCUCGCUCCGCCUUAGUCCACGGGGGCUGCUGUCACCAACGCCCACGGAGCAGGUGGCGUCACACACCCUCAUGUGUCACCGUGCUGGAGGCUGAGAAGGCCAAGAUCAAGGUGCCGGGAGGCCCAGUGUCUGCUGUGCGCUGACGUCCAGGCUCGUAGAAGGACCUCCGCGGGCCCUGUCCACACAGG
rnacentral:lncRNA from 9 species